rnacentral:rRNA from 1 species
CAGAUGUGAAAGACCCGGGGCCGUCAACCUACGGAAGUAGCAUUUGAAACUGGCAGACUAGAGUACUGUAGAGGGGGGUAGAAUUUCAGGUGUAGCGGUGAAAAUGCGUAGAGAUCUGAAGGAAUACCGGUGGCGAAGGCGGCCCCCUGGACAGAUACUGACACUCAGAUGCGAAAGCGUGGGGAGCAAACAGGAUUAGAUACCCUGGUAG